CAGGCCCUGAUUAGGAUCUAAUCUGGAUCAAAGAAUGAUGGGUGGAGAAUCUGUGGUGGCGCCAGUUCAUGGCUGUGAUUCUGUAUGUGAAGAGAAACCAAGAAAUGGAAGGUGAAAGGAAGAAAGUUUCAACUUCUUGCACCUUUGAUGAUUUGGGACAUCUGAAGAUGCUGCAGAGUUAGCAAAUUACUAUUCAAAUACAAUUCCUGUCGUAACAUGAAGAAAUCUGCAUGAGAAGAACUACCUACGUUGGACCAUUAAGUCUGCCUGUGGAAAGGGACACUGCUGAAGCUGUGAGAGGUUCUGGCUCUGUUACUCAAAGUCUCCAACCAUGACUUUUACGUUUUAAAAUCCCAGCAGAGCGCAGGGAGCGUGGUCAUACACUAAUGCUGCAUGGUAGCGCAGCAGCUAACAGUACCAGCUGUAAGAUUAGGGUUCCACUCCUGCCGCUGUCUGUUCAAGGAGCUUGACCAUCCUCUCUGUGACUGUGUGGAUGGCUAUGUAGGAGGGAAGGGUUAGACUUAUUUGAGAGUAGGUUAAAGUAGGUUGGCACAACAUUAUAGGCAUUGUACUGUCACAAGCAACAGAGAAUCUGCAGGUGCUGGAAAUCCAAGCAACACACACAAAAUGCUGGAGGAACUCUGCAGGCCAGGCAGCAUCUAUUGAAAAGUGUAUAGUCGACGUUUCAGGCCAAGACCCUUCAUCAACAUUUUACUGUGCUGUAAUGUUCUAUAUUCUUUUAAUAUAUGACUUCCCGGCACACAAUUUCAUGUGUUCUAAUGUGGUUGACCAGCUUUAGGUGCAGAAUCCUUUAGAGAGCCUCCUGAAAAUUCAGAUUUACCAUUUGUUGCCCUUCAUCUAGAAUGGAGAUGAGGAGGAAUUUCUUUAGCCUGAGAGUGAUGAAUCUGUGGAAUUCAUUGUCACAGAUGCUGUAGAAGCCAAGUCAUUGGGUAGAUUUAAAUUGGACGUUGAUAGGUUCUUGAUUAGUAAGGUGUCAGAGGUUACGGGGAGAAGGCAGGACAAUGGGGUUCAGAGGGAUAAUAAUCAAUCAUGAUGGAAUGGCAGAGCAGACUCAAUGGGCUGAAUGGCCUCAUUCUGCUCCUCUGUCUUAUGGUUAAAGAACUCCAAAGGAGUAGUCAAACAAAAUUUAACGUAAAAAAUUUAUGCUCACUCUUCCCAAUCGUAUCAUUAUUUUCUGUGUUUCUUGAUAUCACACCCUUUAUUACAGAUACAGCAUUUUCCUUCUCAACACCGACAAACAAACAGGAUGAUAGUUAACUUUUUCUUUCUCUAUCCUUUGAUAAAUGGUGGGAUAACCUUUCUCAUUUGCAAUCUGCAAGAACUAUCACAGUGUGUAGAGAAUAUUGGAAGAUGAUAACCAGAGCAUCCACUAUCUCUAAUGUCUGGAAUGUAACUCAUCAGUUCCUUCAGACUUAAUGGUUUUCAGGCAUUAACCUCUAUGGUCGUAUUUUAAUAAGAGCAUCAAAGUUAUAGAGAGAAGGCAGGAGAAUAGCUUACUUCCACAUUUUAUUUUGCAUUUUUAGUCAAUUUCCGGGUCAUGCCAUGCUGACUUCCAAUCAUCAGACUCUUUCUGAUAUCUGCCAUCUUUAUCUAGAUGUGACUCAAGAAUGUUAACUCAUUCAGCCCAUUGACAAGAUUAAGCAGCAACAUUGUACUGAAAGAAUUUAUCUGGAAGACCUAAACAUUAGUAUCUGCAGUGGAUGUAGCCAGGACUUGAUGGCCUGAGUUAUAGGGAAAGAUUGAAUAGGUUAGGAGUUCUUUUUGUGGAGCGUAGGAGAAUAAGGAGAGAUUUUAUAGAGGUACAGUAUACAAAAUUAUGAGAGGUAUAGAUAAGGCUUUUUCCAAUGAAAUUGGGUGAGACUAGGACUAGAGGUUAUGGGUUAAGCAUGAAAGGUGAAAUAUUUAAGGGGAACCUGAGGAGGACAAAGAGCAUCUCUGAAUGCACAACACCUUGAAACUUGAAGUGGAUCGGCUCCAGCAGCACAACAGCACAAACAAUCAGAAAUACUCAGUGGCCACUUUAUCAAGGACCUAACAGUGGCAUGCCCUUCUACACACCACUGCUGUAACAUGUGGUUAUUUGAGUUCCUGUUGCCUUCCUGUCAGCUUGAACCAGUCUGGACAUUCUCCUCUGACCUCCCUCAUUAACAAGGCACUUUUGCCCACACAAUUGCCUCUGACUGUUUUUUUUAAACUUUUGCACAAUUCUCUGUAAACUCUAGAGAACGUUGUGUGGGAAUAUCCCAGCAGUUUCUGAGAUACUCAAACCAUCCUGAGACACUCAAAUCAUUCCACGGUUAAAGUCACUUAGAUCAUAUUUCUUCCCCAUUCUGAUGUUUGGUCUGAACUACAACCUCAUGACCACAUCUACAUGCUUUUAUGUAUCGAGUUGCGGCUACAUGACUGCUGAUUACUUAUUAGACCAUAAGACAAAGAAACAUAGAAAGCCUACAGCACAAUAUAGGCCCUUCAGCCCACAAAGCUGUGCCAAACAUGUCCUUACUAUGGAAACUACCUAGGGAUACCCAUAGCUCUCUAUUUUUUUUAAGCUCCAUGUACCAAUCCAGGAGUCUCUUAAAAGACCCUAUCGUAUCCACCUCCACCACCAUGGCCAGCAGCCCAUUCCACACACUCACCACUCUCUGUGUUAAAAAAAAACCUUACUGCUGACAUCUCCUCUGUACCUACUUCCAAGCACCCUAAAACUGUGCCCUCUCGUGUUAGCCAUUUCAGCCCUGGGAAAAAGCCUCUGACUAUCCACAUGAUCAAUGCCUCUCAUCAUCUCAUACACCUGGACAUGGGAGUAGAAUUAGGCCUUUUACAAGCCAGUGUAUUGAAUUCAGCCUAGACCAACAAAGAAGAAAUGUCAGUAAAAUACAGAUAUAACACCAGUUACAAACCUAUUUUUUGUAGAUGUAGGCAUACAGUAAAAUUCCCUAAAUGCCAAUUUAACAAGGUGACAGCUGACAUAGAAAAUAUUUUUUACCCUGAAAGAAAUUACUGCCAAGGAUAAAAUAUUUCUCUUGUCAGUUCAAAGUUCUCAAAAUUCAAAAACAAUUUAACUAAAGCUAUCAGAACCAAUAGCAAUACUUCAUUUUCAAUCUUUCUCCCAUGGUUGGUUCUGAAGUCAACUUUCAACUAAAUUGUCAAGUUGCUUGUGCAAAUGAAGAUGGAAAAAUGGUGACAAAGGCAGAUCAGCAUAUCAGAAUAUACUUUGUAUUAAACUGGAGUGGCAUUAUUUUCAGAAUGCUUCCUUCAGAGUGUUGAAAUAAAGCUUUCAUUCUACAGAGGCUGCUGCAUAAACAUCAACAAUAUCGUGCAUUUAUAUGACACCACUAAUCUAGUAAAACAGCCCAAGUCACUUUAAAGGUGCAAUAUCAGACAAAACUGGAUGUUGAGCUACAUUAGAAGAUAGACUGAGGAAUUCAGCUUGGUCAAAUAGAUUUUAAGCAGCAUCUUUACGAAGGGAGUGAGUGGUGGAGUGGCGAUUUGUUUACAGAGGGAGCCUAGACAAAUGAAGCCAUGGACUACCCAUGGUGGUGUGAUGGAAAAUGAGGGAAUGCAUGAGGUUAGGAGUGUAGAAGCCUACAUUAAAUGUAGACUUGAAAAAUGUAGCCAUGGAUGGAUUCAAAAACAGGGAUGUGAAUUUUUAUAUUACGUUGUUGGGGGGGGGGGGGGGCGCAGAAAUUUUCCAUUGUCAGGCGUUCCAUUGCCAGAAAUUUUCCUUUCCAGGCAUUUUCCAUUCCCUGGAAAGUGGAUCACGUGGCACCUAAACCAUAGCAUUAGCAUAACACUUUACAGCUCCAGUUAUUGAUUGGAAGAUUGGGGUUCAAUUCCUGCCUCUGUCUGUAAGAAUUUGUAUGUUCUCCCCAUGAUUGCGUUGGUUUCCUCUGAGUGCUCUGGUUUCCACCCACAUUCCAAAGACAUACAGGUUAGGGUAUGUUGUGGGGACGCUAUGUCACUGCCAGAAGCGUGGAGACACUUGCAGGCUGCCCCCAGGAAUCCUCGGUCUGUGUUUGCUCAUUGACGCCAAAAACGUACUGCUUUCCUCUGUGUGUUUUGAUUUUUUUUGAUGUACGUGUGACAAAUAAAGCUAAUCUAACCUAAGUCACGACUGUGAUCAUCUCUGAGUAAACGUGCAGUCACUACAAAACUAUAUGGGGCAUAUCCUGUUGCCGAUCAGACCUGAUCUUUGCCAAACAUCAGCUACACAUGCAAUGGUAUUUUCGUUUGGCAUCACACCCACUACGCUCUGUUGAAUGAAAUGAGAACAAAUAUCAUAUGGAGUUCACAAGAGGAGCAAAGCCUGUGCUUUCGAUCAUCUACAGGAGACACUGACGCUCUCUCUCCUUUGACAGGACUGUCCAAACCCACCUCCCUUACCAGCUAGAAGGAUAAGGGCAGCAAAAGUAUGCGUGGGAGUGGGGGAGAUGGACUACCACCUCGAAGUUCCUCCAGGCCACAAACCAUCCCAACUAGGAAAUAUCAGAAUCAGGUUUAUUAUCACUGACACACUAUAUGUUGUGGUUUUGUGGCUGUAUAACAGUGCAAUACAUAAAAAAUCUGUAAGUUACAAUAGGAAAUAUAAAAAAGUAAAUAAACAGUGCAAAAUAGUGAAGUAGUGUUCAUGGGCA